UUAGACCUUAUGUUAAAGUACAUAAUAUGCACUAGAGUCUAAUGAAAAAAAAAAAUUGUAAGAUUAAUUUUGAGCAAUUCGACAUACCUUUCAAAGAUAUGUAAAUAUUUCUUUUAGAUUCUUCAGGUAUGUAUCUCUGAAUUUUUUAAGGUCCCUUAGUUACCAGCAUAUCGACCAAUUCAGUUAAGGUACUAUAAUAUUUAUUCAUAUAAUAAUUUCACAAACUAUCCG
rnacentral:lncRNA from 1 species